UUUCCCGGGUUGAUCCUAAACAAGAGAGUCACUGCUAUUGGGGAUUUCGGACUAAGCCCAUGCGAGUCGAGAGGGGUUCGGGCCCUCGGCAGACGGGCUCAGUAACACGGUGGAUAAUCUGUCCUUAGGGUGGAGGAUAAUCUCGGGGAAACUGAGAAAUAAAUACUCCAUAGAUCUAGAAUGCUGGGAAUGCAUCUAGGUUGAAAGUUCCGACGCCUAAGGAUGAGUCUGCGGACUAUCAGGCUGUAGUCAGGGUAAAGACCUGACUAACCUACGACGGAUAUGGGUUGUGAGAGCAAUAACCCAGAGACGAUAUCUGAGACACGAUAUCGGGCCCUACGGGGCGCAGCAGGCGCGAAACCUUCACACUGUGCGAAAGCGCGAUGAGGGAAUCCCAAGUGCUUGCUCGUAAGAGUAAGCUGUUUUUCUGUUUAAAAUGCAGAGAGAGUAAGGGCUGGGUAAGACGGGUGCCAGCCGCCGCGGUAAUACCUGCAGCUCAAGUGGUGACCGCUAUUAUUGGGCCUAAAACGUUCGUAGCCGGUUUAGUAAAUGCCUGGGUAAAUCGAGCCGCUUAACGGUUCGAAUUCCGGGUAGACUGCUAAACUUGAGACCGGGAGAGGCUAGAGGUACUCCUGGGGUAGAGGUGAAAUUCUGUAAUCCUGGGGGGACCACCAGUGGCGAAGGCGUCUAGCUAGAGCGGGUCUGACGGUGAGGGACGAGGCCCUGGGGCGCAAACCGGAUUAGAUACCCGGGUAGUCCAGGGUGUAAACGCUGCUUGCUUGAUGUUAGUUGGGCUCUGAGCCCGAUUAGUGUCGGAGAGAAGCUGUUACAAGCUGCCUGGGAAGUACGGUCGCAAGACUGAAACUAAAGGAAUGGCGGGGCAGCACAGCAACCGGAAUGUA
rnacentral:rRNA from 1 species